CAGUAGCCGCGGUAAUACGUAGGUGGCAAGCGUUGUCCGGAAUUAUUGGGCGUAAAGGGCUCGCAGGCGGUUUCUUAAGUCUGAUGUGAAAGCCCCCGGCUCAACCGGGGAGGGCCAUUGGAAACUGGGAAACUUGAGUGCAGAAGAGGGGAGUGGAAUUCCACGUGUAGCGGUGAAAUGCGUAGAGAUGUGGAGGAACACCAGUGGCGAAGGCGACCCUCUGGUCUGUAACUGACGCUGAGGAGCGAAAGCGUGGGGAGCGAACAGGAUUAGAUACCCCUGUAGUCCCUGUCUCUUAUAC
rnacentral:rRNA from 1 species